UAAACAUCAGACUUGUGAAGAAAUGAGAUCAGCACAUGACGGGGAUGCCCACGGGGGAAACCUGCCCCUGCUGUUACUCUGUUGCGACCAACCGGCCCGACGGUUGACCAGGGGAAAGAUGAAUCCAGUCCAAGAAUAAGUACAUGUGGAAUGGACCCAAGCAUGGACAUCAGUUGAGAUACACCAAUCCCAACCCAAUCUGCAGCUUGAAGCAGAGCCUCUAGACAAGCCCAGGAUAGAUCAGCAAAUUCACAACUGACCCACAAAUAGGAGAAAACAAAAUCUGGGCUCUUCCCUGCCC